AAUUCUCACGAAUUUAACAGUCGUCAGGAUAUCUGAAAACAAUAGUAUCGCAUACGCAACACAUCUGCGGUUUCUAUAGUGGUGUAUUCCAUUGGCUUGUCAGGUAGUAGUCUCCACUGCAACAAUGUCUCAUCGAAUUAUUUAUAGAAGAGAUAUCUAACGACUUUUAGCAGAUCAGAAAAAAAUAGGAAAUGUUAAAUAUACGCCAUUCGUUUUCUGCGAACCCGAGACUUCAGUCAGACACACACCGCAACGAACAUAUGUUUCCUUUGACAGAAAACAGCUGUUUUACUUACCGGGAACUAU